GGACCCGCACAAGCGGUGGAUGAUGUGGAUUAAUUCGAUGCAACGCGAAAAACCUUACCUACCCUUGACAUGUCUGGAAGGCCGAAGAGAUUUGGCUGUGCUCGCAAGAGAACCGGAACACAGGUGCUGCAUGGCUGUCGUCAGCUCGUGUCGUGAGAUGUUGGGUUAAGUCCCGCAACGAGCGCAACCCUUGUCAUUAGUUGCUACGAAAGGGCACUCUAAUGAGACUGCCGGUGACAAACCGGAGGAAGGUGGGGAUGACGUCAAGUCCUCAUGGCCCUUAUGGGUAGGGCUUCACACGUCAUACAAUGGUCGGGACAGAGGGUCGCCAACCCGCGAGGGGGAGCCAAUCCCAGAAACCCGAUCGUAGUCCGGAUUGCAGGCUGCAACUCGCCUGCAUGAAGUCGGAAUCGCUAGUAAUCGCGGAUCAGCAUGUCGCGGUGAAUACGUUCCCGGGUCUU
rnacentral:rRNA from 1 species